UACGUAGGUGGCGAGCGUUGUCCGGAUUUACUGGGCGUAAAGAGCGCGCAGGCGGUCGUACAAGUCGCGUGUGAAAGCCCCUGGCUCAACUGGGGAGGGUCACGCGAUACUGAUCGACUCGAAGGCAGGAGAGGGUAGUGGAAUUCCCGGUGUAGUGGUGAAAUGCGUAGAUAUCGGGAGGAACACCAGUGGCGAAGGCGACUACCUGGCCUGUUCUUGACGCUGAGGCGCGAAAGCUAGGGGAGCAAACGGG
rnacentral:rRNA from 1 species